rnacentral:piRNA from 1 species
GAGUCUCCUAGACUUGAAAGACCCAGCCAGA